rnacentral:lncRNA from 1 species
AAUUUACCGCUACACUUGCCAAAACAUGUUGUGCUUUAGACGAACGGUGUCCUUUCUAGUUAAAUUAUUAAGAUCAAAAUCUGAAAUUACAAAUAAGACCAUCCAAAACUCUGUUGAAAUCAAAGUCCAUAAUAGUUACGAAAAUGUAUGGGGCAUCCAUCCUCUAUUGUUGAGUAUAAAUUUAGCACCCAACUCUAAUGGAUAAAAAAGUCACCCUCCAUUGAAGGUCUCUAGAAAAAAAAAUCCACCAACCACAAUGUCUUCGAUCAUC